UUUGUCUGACAUUAGGCGUGCAUGUCUCUAUAUAUCCGUUUAUAUUGCGAACUGCGAAUGGCUCAUUGGACAGUUAUAGUUUAUUUGAUAAUCGAUUCUUAUUCGGAUACCUGUGGUAAUUCUAGAGCUAAUGCGUGCACCCUGACCCGACUUUACGGAAGGGUUGUGUUUAUUAUAUUCCAAACCAAACCUUGGUUCCCAUGGUUUCCGAUGAAUCCUGAUAAUCUAACGAAUCGCACUCUGUGCGAUGGAUCAAUCAAGUUUCUGACCUAUCAGCUGCUGACGGUAGGGUAUUGGCCUACCGUGGCUUUGACGGGUAACGGACAAUUAGGGUUCGAUUCCGGAGAGGGAGCCUGAUAAACCGCUACCACUUCUAACGAAGGCAGCAGGCGCGCAAAUUACCCUCUCCUGACACAGGGAGGUAGUGACAACAAAUAACAAUACAGGGCAUCCAUGUCUUGGAAUUGGAAUGGAUAGUAUUUAAAUCUCUUUAUGAGUAU
rnacentral:rRNA from 1 species